AUUUAAUUUUGAACGAGUGGCGGACGGGUGAGUAACACGUGGGUAACCUGCCCUUAAGUGGGGGAUAACAUUUGGAAACAGAUGCUAAUACCGCAUAAAUCCAAGAACCGCAUGGUUCUUGGCUGAAAGAUGGCGUAAGCUAUCGCUUUUGGAUGGACCCGCGGCGUAUUAGCUAGUUGGUGAGGUAACGGCUCACCAAGGCAAUGAUACGUAGCCGAACUGAGAGGUUGAUCGGCCACAUUGGGACUGAGACACGGCCCAAACUCCUACGGGAGGCAGCAGUAGGGAAUCUUCCACAAUGGACGCAAGUCUGAUGGAGCAACGCCGCGUGAGUGAAGAAGGCUUUCGGGUCGUAAAACUCUGUUGUUGGAGAAGAAUGGUCGGCAGAGUAACUGUUGUCGGCGUGACGGUAUCCAACCAGAAAGCCACGGCUAACUACGUGCCAGCAGCCGCGGUAAUACGUAGGUGGCAAGCGUUAUCCGGAUUUAUUGGGCGUGAAGCGAGCGCAGGCGGUUUUUUAAGUCUGAUGUGAAAGCCCUCGGCUUAACCGAGGAAGUGCAUCGGAAACUGGAAAACUUGAGUGCAGAAGAGGACAGUGGAACUCCAUGUGUAGCGGUGAAAUGCGUAGAUAUAUGGAAGAACACCAGUGGC
rnacentral:rRNA from 1 species